rnacentral:rRNA from 1 species
AUCGCCCUUCGGGGUGCAGCAGGCGCGAAAACUUUACAAUGCUGGCAACAGCGAUAAGGGGACCUCGAGUGCCAGGAUACAAUCUUGGCUGUCGCGAUGCCUAAAAAGCAUUGCAUAGCAAGGGCCGGGCAAGACCGGUGCCAGCCGCCGCGGUAACACCGGCGGCUCGAGUGGUAACCGCUAUUAUUGGGUCUAAAGGGUCUGUAGCCGGCCGGAUAAGUCUUUUGGGAAAUCCAGCUGCUCAACAGUUGGGCUUUCAGAAGAUACUGUUCGGCUCGAGACCGGGAGAGGUGAGAGGUACUUCAGGGGUAGGGGUGAAAUCUUGUAAUCCUUGAAGGACCACCAGUGGCGAAGGCGUCUCACCAGAACGGAUCUGACGGCAAGGGACGAAAGCUAGGGGCACGAACCGGAUUAGAUACCCGGGUAGUCCUAGCCGUAAACGAUACUCGCUAGGUGUCAGCCACGGUGCGACCGUGGUUGGUGCCGUAGGGAAGCCGUGAAGCGAGCCACCUGGGAAGUACGGCCGCAAGGCUGAAACUUAAAGGAAUUGGCGGGGGAGCAC